rnacentral:lncRNA from 1 species
UAGAAAACUUGACCAAGCAUCGGAGUGGAUAGUUGGUUUGGAAGUUCUGGCUGUAUCUCUUAAACACAAUAUCUUUAAGGGAGUUUAAACAAUGACUUCGAAGCUCCAUUUCAUGGAUGUCGUGGUAAUUGGAAGCAACAACCAUUGCCUGACACAGCAGAGGUAAGUUGCUCCUAAGGACAGAGGCAGAGAUGAAGACAUAAGGAGUCUGGGAGUGGUAUACAACAUAACUGGUUUUGUACUGGUUUGGUUUUGUAUAAGGUGUUCCCCAGGCAAUUCUAAUCCAGAUUGCAUUAUCCUCAUAUUCCCGAAAAUUGAUGGUGACAUUUAUCAAAGCUGAUUGAAUUUGUCUUCUAAAUUUUUUUUUGAAAUCUCUGAAGUCAAAGAAGUCUGUUUCUUCCCCUGUUUUGUUCAUAUGGUAGACAC